GCGUCAGUAGUGCAAACAGGCAGAGCACGCGCUCUCAGUAGAGUGCGAUGUGGGUUCAAUUCACGCCUGACGCA